UAUUAUAAUUAAUGUUAAUUAAUUACUUGGGUAGUAUUAGAAAUUCUUUAAACCUAAAGAAUUUGGCGGUAUUUUAGUCCUUUCAGAGGAAUCUGUCCUAUAAUUGAUAAUACACGAUUUGUUUUACUUAGUUUUGUUUACAGUUUGUAUACCGCCGUCGUAAGAUUAUUUUUAUGGAGAAUUAAAUUUUCUUGAUUUUUUAUUAAAAUAUAUGUCAGGUCAAGGUGCAGCUUAUAAUUAAGUGGAGAUGGAUUACAAUAAUUAUAAUUUUAUGGAAGAUUAUUUAAAAUUAAUUUGAAAGUGGAUUUGAUUGUAAAGUUAUUCUCAAUUUUAUAUUGAUUUGGGCUCUAAAAUGUGUACAUAUCGCCCGUCGCUCUCGUUAUUAAGAUGAG
rnacentral:rRNA from 1 species